AGAGUUUGAUCCUGGCUCAGGACGAACGCUGGCGGCGUGCUUAACACAUGCAAGUCGAACGGAUCACAGGGGCUUGCUCUUGUGGUGAGUGGCGAACGGGUGAGUAACACGUGAGUAACCUGCCCCUGACUCUGGGAUAACUGCUGGAAACGGUGGCUAAUACCGGAUAUGAGACGGCCCUGCAUGGGGUUGUUUGGAAAGAUUUUUUGGUUGGGGAUGGGCUCGCGGCCUAUCAGCUUGUUGGUGGGGUGAUGGCUCACCAAGGCGACGACGGGUAGCCGGCCUGAGAGGGCGACCGGCCACACUGGGACUGAGACACGGCCCAGACUCCUACGGGAGGCAGCAGUGGGGAAUAUUGCACAAUGGGCGCAAGCCUGAUGCAGCGACGCCGCGUGAGGGAUGGAGGCCUUCGGGUUGUAAACCUCUUUCAGCAGGGAAGAAGCGCAAGUGACGGUACCUGCAGAAGAAGCGCCGGCUAACUACGUGCCAGCAGCCGCGGUAAUACGUAGGGCGCAAGCGUCGUCCGGAAUUAUUGGGCGUAAAGAGCUCGUAGGCGGUUUGUCGCGUCUGCUGUGAAAUCCUCAGGCUCAACUUGGGGCUUGCAGUGGGUACGGGCAGACUAGAGUGCGGUAGGGGUGACUGGAAUUCCUGGUGUAGCGGUGGAAUGCGCAGAUAUCAGGAGGAACACCGAUGGCGAAGGCAGGUCACUGGGCCGCAACUGACGCUGAGGAGCGAAAGCAUGGGGAGCGAACAGGAUUAGAUACCCCAGUAGUCC
rnacentral:rRNA from 1 species